UACAGAGGGUGCAAGCGUUAAUCGGAAUUACUGGGCGUAAAGCGCGCGUAGGUGGUUUGUUAAGUUGGAUGUGAAAUCCCCGGGCUCAACCUGGGAACUGGCAUUCCAAAACUGACAAGCUAGAGUAUGGUAGAGGGUGGUGGAAUUUCCUGUGUAGCGGUGAAAUGCGUAGAUAUAGGAAGGAACACCAGUGGCGAAGGCGACCACCUGGACUGAUACUGACACUGGAG
rnacentral:rRNA from 1 species